rnacentral:rRNA from 1 species
CCUACGGGUGGCUGCAGUGGGGAAUAUUGGACAAUGGGCGAAAGCCUGAUCCAGCCAUGCCGCGUGUGUGAAGAAGGCCUUCGGGUUGUAAAGCACUUUCAGUGGGGAAGAAAGCCUUGGGGCUAAUACCCUCGAGGAAGGACAUCACCCACAGAAGAAGCACCGGCUAACUCCGUGCCAGCAGCCGCGGUAAUACGGAGGGUGCGAGCGUUAAUCGGAAUUACUGGGCGUAAAGCGCGCGUAGGCGGUCUGAUAAGCCGGUUGUGAAAGCCCCGGGCUCAACCUGGGAACGGCAUCCGGAACUGUCAGGCUAGAGUGCAGGAGAGGAAGGUAGAAUUCCCGGUGUAGCAGUGAAAUGCGUAGAGAUCGGGAGGAAUACCAGUGGCGAAGGCGGCCUUCUGGACUGACACUGACGCUGAGGUGCGAAAGCGUGGGUAGCGAACAGGAUUAGAUACCCCAGUAGUC